CUCGUACAUAAAAUUACUCCCCAGUGCCCUCGUGUUCGUGUCUCGAUAACGCUACGGUGUUGCGCGCACCACGACGGGCGUGAAACGAGGCUGACAUGGGACCGCCGUCUGAAGGAAACUUUCAUCGGGAGUUCCCGCGGAAAGAAACGCUCCUUUGGGAGGAGCCGUUCCGACUCAGCCAAUCGAGCCGCCUCCUUGCGCAAAGCUUGACGACCCAUAACGCAAUCUUUCAAGCGCGGCGAGAGGAGACCGGCCGGCGUAUCCUCCUCGGUUCCUGCCUCGUCGUUCUGCAAAAACGGACCGGGCUGACCGCCUAGCCUGCUCUCCUCGAUCUUCCUCUCCUCGAUCCUCGCACACCUGACGGAUCAAAGGACUCUCUCCGCGAGCCAAGGGACAGCUGCGACGCAUCCCUCUCCGAGAGUCCGUCUUCCCAGGGCUUGCUCGACGAUCGGACAACAGCGAAUCGCGCGCGACUUGGAACGCGUUUUACGAGCGACCGGAUUCCUUCGUCCUCGUCCUUCUCUUGUUUUGCAAACUGCGAUCGCCAGCCAGGAUUGCUCGUUCGAUGGAUUACGCGAGCACCGUGGCGCGUCGUUCCCGCGCCUCGUCGACUAGCAGGAAUUAAAGCAAUCGCGGCGGCGGAAGCGUAAAAAGUUACAGCCCGCGGGACGUGUCGGUACUUUACGCCGAUGCUCUAUUUUGAUCGCUGCGAGCUCGCUGCUACAUUCUACGAGCUGUAACCGAGAUGUCUUAACGAGGAUGUCGGGAUUUAAAUACCCCGUUGAUGGCCGCGAAGGAGACCCGAUCGCGUGUUUUACAACGUUCGAUCGGCGAUCGUUCGAUCCUGGAUUUUAAAUCGCGUCCGCAAGCGGAAUAAUAACCGGCGUCGCCGGAUAGUUUAUAGAUUGGUUAAAUUAUUACCGCGACCUUCGCUGCAUUCUUUUUUGCCUUCGCUUUGCGUUCAUCUUUUUUUUUCAGGUACUCUGGUUAUUCCUUCGGUUGUAUAUUAUAUAAAUAAAUUGCAAAGAUCCUAUAUAUAUAUUAUUAUAAAUUUAAAUAGCGUAAUAUUUCAAUAUUUAAAUAUAUAAUUAAUGCUGCGAGUGAUUGCUUGCAGGCAGAAGCAGUUGAAUGUCCAAAGUUUACAUCUCUAAUCGUCAGACCGAGGACUCCGCGCUGCUGCGAUUAGAGAGGUAAUACUAUACAAUGAUUUUAGGCUUGCGAGUCAACUCCUUUUGGAAAAGUUCGUCUCGCGUUUCGAUAACAUAGUAGCUGUCUUCGUGGGAAGAUCGAAUGGCAAACCGUCGGUUAGGUAAACAAUUAAAUUCUCUGGUUCGUGACUAUAACUAGUAAGGUGAACACGGUGCAUUUAUUGUCGAUGAAUUAUCCUGUGAGCCGUGCAACGUCAGCGUCGCAUUGUUAACGAAACGCGAGGAUAGUCGUCUUUCCUUCGAAAGAUCUUCGUUUCCAAGAAGUAUUUAUUUUAUUAUCACUUCGAAUGGGGGAAUGUUUCAAUUCGGUAAAGUGUACUGUUUUUCUAGACAUAACUAUUAAAGUGUGUAUUCAAAGAUUUAACCCUUGGUUUCUGUAAAUUGUUUAACAGAUAAGUGCACAUUUUGAUCAAUAUCAGUGUAAUUAUUUCCAA